AACGAACGCUGGCGGCAUGCCUAACACAUGCAAGUCGAACGAGACCUUCGGGUCUAGUGGCUCACGGGUGCGUAACGCGUGGGAACCUGCCCUUAGGUUAGGAAUAACUCCCCGGAAGGGGUGCUAAUACCGGAUAAUGUCUUCGGACCAAAGAUUUAUCGCCUUUGGAUGGGCCCGCGUUGGAUUAGCUAGUUGGUAGGCUAAAAGCCUACCAAGGCGACGAUCCAUAGCUGGUCUGAGAGGAUGAUCAGCCACACUGGGACUGAGACACGGCCCAGACUCCUACGGGAGGCAGCAGUGGGGAAUAUUGGACAAUGGGCGAAAGACUGAGCCAUCAAUGCCGCGUGAGUGAUGAAGGCCUUAGGGUUGUAAAGCUCUUUUACCCGGGAUGAUAAUGACAGUACCGUGAGAAUAAGCUCCGGCUAACUCCGUG
rnacentral:rRNA from 1 species